CCUACGGGCGACAGCAGUAGGGAAUCUUUCACAAUGGGCGAAAGCCUGAUGGAGCAACGCCGCGUGCAGGAUGAAGGCCUUCGGGUUGUAAACUGCUUUUAUAAGCGAGAAAUAUGAUGGUAACUUAUGAAUAAGGAUCGGCUAACUACGUGCCAGCAGCCGCGGUCAUACGUAGGAUCCGAGCUUUAUCCGGAGUGACUGGGUGUAAAGAGUUGCGUAGGUGGCAUAAUAAGUAGCUAGUGAAAUCUGGUGGCUCAACCAUUCAGACUAUUAGCUAAACUGUUAAGCUCGAGACCGUUAGGGGUAACUGGAAUUUCUAGUGUAGGAGUGAAAUCCGUAGAUAUUAGAAGGAACACCAAUAGCGUAGGCAGGUUGCUGGGACGGUUCUGACACUAAGGCACGAAAGCGUAGGGAGCAAACGGGAUUAGAUACCCGUGUAGUC
rnacentral:rRNA from 1 species